rnacentral:rRNA from 1 species
AGUGAAGAGGGAAGAGCCCGGGAUGGAAGGCUGGCGUCUUCGACGUCCGCAUUGUAAUCUCAAGAAGCAUUUUCCGCUUCGGACCAAGCCUAAGUCCCUUGGAAAAGGGCAUCGUAGAGGGUGAGAAUCCCGUACAUGGCUUGGAGCGCCCGAGGCUUUGUGAUAUGCAUUCUAAGAUUCGAGUUGUUUGGGAAUGCAGCUCAAAAUGGGUGGUAAAUGCCAUCUAAGGCUAAAUAUUGGGGAGAGACCGAUAUGCUAACAAGUACCGUGNAGGGAAAGAUGAAAAGAACUUUGAAAAGAGAGUUAAACAGUACGUGAAAUUGCCAAAAGGGAAGGGUAGGAGGUCAGAGAUGCGGCGUGGGAUUCAGCCUUGCUUUUGCUUGGUGUUUUUCCCUCAUUGCAGGCCAACGUCGGUUUUGGGCACUGGAGAAUGGUGAGAGGAAUGUGGCACUCUUCGGGGUGUGUUAUAGCCUCUUACUGGAUACAGCGACCGGGACCGAGGAACACAGCGUACUCGAAAGAGCGGGCCUUCGGGCACCUUUACGCUUAGGGC